rnacentral:rRNA from 1 species
GAAACCGUGUGCUUACAAGUAGUCAGAGCCCGUUAAUGGGUGAUGGCGUGCCUUUUGUAGAAUGAACCGGCGAGUUACGAUUUGAUGCAAGGUUAAGCAGUAAAUGUGGAGCCGUAGCGAAAGCGAGUCUGAAUAGGGCGUUUAGUAUUUGGUCGUAGACCCGAAACCAGGUGAUCUACCCUUGGUCAGGUUGAAGUUCAGGUAACACUGAAUGGAGGACCGAACCGACUUACGUUGAAAAGUGAGCGGAUGAACUGAGGGUAGCGGAGAAAUUCCAAUCGAACCUGGAGAUAGCUGGUUCUCUCCGAAAUAGCUUUAGGGCUAGCCUCAAGUGAUGAUUAUUGGAGGUAGAGCACUGUUUGGACGAGGGGCCCCUCUCGGGUUACCGAAUUCAGACAAACUCCGAAUGCCAAUUAAUUUAACUUGGGAGUCAGAACAUGGGUGAUAAGGUCCGUGUUCGAAAGGGAAACAGCCCAGACCACCAGCUAAGGUCCCAAAAUAUAUGUUAAGUGGAAAAGGAUGUGGCGUUGCCCAGACAACUAGGAUGUUGGCUUAGAAGCAGCCAUCAUUUAAAGAGUGCGUAAUAGCUCACUAGUCGAGUGACACUGCGCCGAAAAUGUACCGGGGCUAAACAUAUUACCGAAGCUGUGGAUUGUCCUUUGGACAAUGGUAGGAGAGCGUUCUAAGGGCGUUGAAGCAUGAUCGUAAGGACAUGUGGAGCGCUUAGAAGUGAGAAUGCCGGUGUGAGUAGCGAAAGACGGGUGAGAAUCCCGUCCACCGAUUGACUAAGGUUUCCAGAGGAAGGCUCGUCCGCUCUGGGUUAGUCGGGUCCUAAGCUGAGGCCGACAGGCGUAGGCGAUGGAUAACAGGUUGAUAUUCCUGUACCACCUAUAAUCGUUUUAAUCGAUGGGGGGACGCAGUAGGAUAGGCGAAGCGUGCGAUUGGAUUGCACGUCUAAGCAGUAAGGCUGAGUAUUAGGCAAAUCCGGUACUCGUUAAGGCUGAGCUGUGAUGGGGAGAAGACAUUGUGUCUUCGAGUCGUUGAUUUCACACUGCCGAGAAAAGCCUCUAGAUAGAAAAUAGGUGCCCGUACCGCAAACCGACACAGGUAGUCAAGAUGAGAAUUCUAAGGUGAGCGAGCGAACUCUCGUUAAGGAACUCGGCAAAAUGACCCCGUAACUUCGGGAGAAGGGGUGCUCUUUAGGGUUAACGCCCAGAAGAGCCGCAGUGAAUAGGCCCAAGCGACUGUUUAUCAAAAACACAGGUCUCUGCUAAACCGUAAGGUGAUGUAUAGGGGCUGACGCCUGCCCGGUGCUGGAAGGUUAAGAGGAGUGGUUAGCUUCUGCGAAGCUACGAAUCGAAGCCCCAGUAAACGGCGGCCGUAACUAUAACGGUCCUAAGGUAGCGAAAUUCCUUGUCGGGUAAGUUCCGACCCGCACGAAAGGCGUAACGAUUUGGGCACUGUCUCAACGAGAGACUCGGUGAAAUCAUAGUACCUGUGAAGAUGCAGGUUACCCGCGACAGGACGGAAAGACCCCGUGGAGCUUUACUGUAGCCUGAUAUUGAAAUUCGGCACAGCUUGUACAGGAUAGGUAGGAGCCUUUGAAACGUGAGCGCUAGCUUACGUGGAGGCGCUGGUGGGAUACUACCCUAGCUGUGUUGGCUUUCUAACCCGCACCACUUAUCGUGGUGGGAGACAGUGUCAGGCGGGCAGUUUGACUGGGGCGGUCGCCUCCUAAAAGGUAACGGAGGCGCUCAAAGGUUCCCUCAGAAUGGUUGGAAAUCAUUCAUAGAGUGUAAAGGCAUAAGGGAGCUUGACUGCGAGACCUACAAGUCGAGCAGGGUCGAAAGACGGACUUAGUGAUCCGGUGGUUCCGCAUGGAAGGGCCAUCGCUCAACGGAUAAAAGCUACCCCGGGGAUAACAGGCUUAUCUCCCCCAAGAGUUCACAUCGACGGGGAGGUUUGGCACCUCGAUGUCGGCUCAUCGCAUCCUGGGGCUGUAGUCGGUCCCAAGGGUUGGGCUGUUCGCCCAUUAAAGCGGUACGCGAGCUGGGUUCAGAACGUCGUGAGACAGUUCGGUCCCUAUCCGUCGUGGGCGUAGGAAAUUUGAGAGGAGCUGUCCUUAGUACGAGAGGACCGGGAUGGACAUACCUCUGGUGUACCAGUUGUCGUGCCAACGGCAUAGCUGGGUAGCUAUGUGUGGACGGGAUAAGUGCUGAAAGCAUCUAAGCAUGAAGCCCCCCUCAAGAUGAGAUUUCCCAACUUCGGUUAUAAGAUCCCUCAAAGAUGAUGAGGUUAAUAGGUUCGAGGUGGAAGCAUGGUGACAUGUGGAGCUGACGAAUACUAAUCGAUCGAAGACUUAAUCAAAA